UUCCCUUGGAGCCUCCAAUAGCCAGCAAAAAGGGACAAUCUUCUGAGAAGGCAACCGAAAACACAGCUCCUGCUUUAAGUUUCGUGGAUGCCACACAUGAAGGUUCAUUAUUGGACAAGUCCCAUAAUUUAACCAUUUUAUCAGUAGAUCCAGUCGCGAGUAGAUUAGGUGCUAAGGGAUUGUAAGAAACUGAGCAGACAGCUUUCUCAUGCGCAUGGAGAGUAAAACUUGCUUUUGAUUCAGAACUAGUCUCUGUAGUGGCAUUCCGGAUAUCAAAACCUUUCACUGUACCAUCCUCUAGACUCACCAAAAACAUGUGCUCUGUAUGUGGAUCCCAUGCCAAGCUCUCCACAUCUGCUGUAACUUGCCACUUGUAACCUGAAUGGGAAGG
rnacentral:misc_RNA from 1 species